CGCGCAAGCCCGGGCGCGCCCUCGCGCGCGUGGUGGGAAAGGGGGUGUGGCCGGCGGCGCCCCCCGCUCUGCCGCCAUAUAGGGAAUGGAAUGCGGGGGCGGGGCCGCCGCCGCGGCCUGAACCCGGUCACCUCUGCCGGGAAAGCCGGAUGGGCGGGGCGAGCUGCGCCUCGCGGACGAGAAGUUCGGUACCGGCUGCGGCCGCGCCGCGGUGUCAGACCUGCGCUCCUGCUUCAGAGGCGGACCGCUAACAGGAGAAGCCCUUUCCGUCCGCCCCUGGAUCAGGAGCCCAGAUGCAUGCAUAUAACAAGCUCUUGAGCUACACCAGUGAGGCGUGCUCCAAGACGUGUUGGUAUAGAGUUUUGCGGGGAGAUUCGUUUUCCUUCUAUUAGCGGUAGUACGGUAAAGGUCGUCAUCCCGGUGCCAGCACCCGGUUGGCUCUGCAGAUGUCAGCGCUUGGAAGCGCUUCGGGAGAGCCGAGGCACAGGGCUGGGCGGCACGGACCUGCAAUGAGUCAAUUGGAGGCGAUGAAGGCACCGUGUUUACCCAGAUCUGGGCAGAAAUUUUUAAAUUCACUAAAGAAAUCCCAGAAAAAAGCAGGUGGAAGAGCUCAUGGAUUCACCUGUUUCAUCUGUCUACCCCUCAUCAAGAGUAUCUACUUCCUAUUGAUUCUGUGUAUAUUAACAGAUACACAGAGUGCUGGUGAAUCUUUUUAGUUUCUGGGCUAGGGAGCAGACAAGAAAGCAAGAGGCAUCUUUGCUCUUCUCAUGCUGCCACAGGCACCAAAUGUGCUCCACUCUAGGCCCCAGCUGCACCAGCAUAGCGCUUAAGCAACUUGCAAAUUUUCAUCUGAGACUGAACUUUUGUCCUGCCAGGUUUGCCCCAAGUUCUCUCCCCUUUCUUAAACCAAGUGGGAAGAUGUGUUAACUCCAGAGAAGAAAUUAGGAAGCAUUAAAGCCAUAUCUAAGCUAUUUUAAUUGCUAGUUAGAUUUUUUCUUUCAGUGGAUGUUCUCAAGGGAAGACCUUACCGAGCUGAGCAUUUCUUGCCUCUGUUUCCAUUUCACCAUUUUGGGAAGUUUCUAUUCCAGAGCCACACAGAGAAGAAGGAAUGGCUGCAAAACAGCAAGCUUAACUUGGCUAACUUCCUGCGUGAAAUAAAAGGCUAUUCUGUGAGCUGCUUGGAAAAGCACCCUUACCCACCACGCAGUGAAAUUCCUUCCUAAUAAUCCUUUCAGAGCAUUAGGCCAGUUGCAGUCAGUUUUGCUCAUUACAGUAAAGUAUAAAAGGCUUGAGCAUUCCACCAGUUGUGCUAAUCUAAAAGGAAGGUCACAUACAGCUGCACAGUUGUCUUUGUGUGAAGCACACCAACGUCUAAAUGUAGAAAAAUGAUGGCAGGCGACAUAAUGCUGGCUAACAUAAGUCCCCCCAGUGGUUAAAUCUUAUCAGGAAAGAUGAGACUUGGCAUUCCUGCAUUGAAGCUGAACAAGGGUCUGGAUUCAUGCACUGCAUAAAAUAUUUCUGAACUCUCAGAGGGUAGGGGGGUCAAAGACAAAGAAGGAGACUGGGGAAUGGAGGCUGGAGGGUUCUUGGAGCUAAAGCUAUAAGGGAGAAAAAGCAAGAAAAAUUGAGGAGACGGACUAAAAUAAUCAAAACAAGAAAGAAUGAUAGGCCUACUGAAACAACUGGAUUUACAAUGCUGAACCAAAUCUUUUUAAACCUGUUUCUGUUUGCCUUUUUAGAUAACAACGGGUUUCAUUUCUUGGAAAAAGGACAGGUUUUGCAGAUAACAAAUGUAUUCUAACAUUGUGUGAAAGCUUGAAAAACACUGCUGUUUGUAAAGGUAGUGAAAAUCACUGUACUUUGUAGUGAAACUGGGAAUUCAAAUGCAGGAAAGGCAGACAGAAGUGAUGAGUGUUGAUGAAAUUACCAUCUAAAGAUUGGUUGGUGAAGAAAAUAGUGUAGUUGGUCACUGUCUUCAGUUUUACAAUGUUUUCAUAAAACAGUUUCUUUCAUUAGGUUCAGAGGCUAUUUUUAAUUUAAAGCCUAAGAAAAGAACUUUUGCCUUUUGCUAGCCUUUUAAAUCAAAUACUUUAGGAUAAAUAUUGCCAGCUCUUUAGAGUUUCUCUGUUGAAGUGGAAAUAAACUGGCAGCACCAAAUGAGUCCUUUCAAAGUGCAGCUUUUUAUUUUGAUUAAAUUCCUUGUUGAUUCUAAAACUGGAGUCAGAGACUAGAAUCUAAAAGCAUUUAGGAAAAUUUACUUUAAAUACUAAGCGUACUUUGCCAGUUUUCUAGAACAAUUAAAAGAAACAAACAUCUAAAACUCGGCUAAAUCCUCUUGACAUUAGUUUCUGUGUCCUCUGCCUUUCUGUGGCUCGAUACUUAAUGUAUGAAGUCAUUCUCAGAAGGACUGAAGGGGAAGGCGUUGUUUGUGCCAUAGUCCCAGAGCUGUGUGAAUUAAUGCUGCUCUGUAUUUCCUCAAGGACUGAGCACAUUCAGUUUACAUUUAUUGAGAAUAGAUCCUGGGAAUGACUUAUUUCUUCCUUAUAAGGAGCCUUGUGUUGAGAUAUCUGUUGGGGCAGUUUAGCUCACUACUAAAUCACUAGGGAUAAAAGCAUUACUGUUACAAGUCAAAUGAUAAUGCACAAGUAAAAUGAUAAUGUGCAAUUCUUAAAAGUAAAUGUGUUGCAGUCAUUUAGGUGGUUCAGAAUAUUGAGGUCUUGGAAGACUAGAGGAAUCAGAGUCUCUCACCUUUCUUCAGACUUACCAUUUGCAUAAAGUCAAAAGGACAAAGUCUUGUCUCAGAGGGAACUCUAGAUUUAGUGUCUCUCUGGGUUUGUUGUGACCUUAUUUAGAUCUGAGUUGCAAAAUUUAUGAAUACCCAAAGUAAAAGCAGUAUAUUACCCUCACAAGUCUUUGUAAAUGUUAUUUUUAAAGUAUUAUUUUUUUCCUAAUAUUGAAAUAAAAUAGUUUUAUUAAAA